ACAUGGGCAUACUUAGUACGGCGAGUGAGCGGUAAAAGCUCAAAUUUGAAAUCUGGUACUUUCAGUGCCCGAGUUGUAAUUUGUAGAAUUUGUCUUUGAUUAGGUCCUUGUCUAUGUUCCUUGGAACAGGACGUCAUAGAGGGUGAGAAUCCCGUUUGGCGAGGAUACCUUUUCUCUGUAAGACUUUUUCGAAGAGUCGAGUUGUUUGGGAAUGCAGCUCAAAGUGGGUGGUAAAUUCCAUCUAAAGCUAAAUAUUGGCGAGAGACCGAUAGCGAACAAGUACAGUGAUGGAAAGAUGAAAAGAACUUUGAAAAGAGAGUGAAAAAGUACGUGAAAUUGUUGAAAGGGAAGGGCAUUUGAUCAGACAUGGUGUUUUUUGCAUGCACUCGCCUCUCGUGGGCUUGGGCCUCUCAAAAAUUUCACUGGGCCAACAUCAAUUCUGGCAGCAGGAUAAAUCAUUAAGAAUGUAGCUACUUCGGUAGUGUUAUAGCUUUUUGGAAUACUGUUAGCCGGGAUUGAGGACUGCGCUUCGGCAAGGAUGUUGGCAUAAUGGUUAAAUGCCGCCCGUCUUGAACCCACGGACCA
rnacentral:rRNA from 1 species